rnacentral:rRNA from 1 species
AUUGAACGCUGGCGGCAGGCCUAACACAUGCAAGUCGAGCGGUAGAGAGAAGCUUGCUUCUCUUGAGAGCGGCGGACGGGUGAGUAAUGCCUAGGAAUCUGCCUGAUAGUGGGGGAUAACGUCCGGAAACGGACGCUAAUACCGCAUACGUCCUACGGGAGGAAGUGGGGGCUCUUCGGACCUCACGCUAUCAGAUGAGCCUAGGUCGGAUUAGCUAGUUGGUGAGGUAAUGGCUCACCAAGGCGACGAUCCGUAACUGGUGUGAGAGGAUGAUCAGUCACACUGGAACUGAGACACGGUCCAGACUCCUACGGGAGGCAGCAGUGGGGAAUAUUGGACAAUGGGCGAAAGCCUGAUCCAGCCAUGCCGCGUGUGUGAAGAAGGUCUUCGGAUUGUAAAGCACUUUAAGUUGGGAGGAAGGGUCGUUACCUAAUACGUGGCGAUUUUGACGUUACCGACAGAAUAAGCACCGGCUAACUCUGUGCCAGCAGCCGCGGUAAAAC